rnacentral:rRNA from 1 species
CCAUUAGAUGUCCUGGGCUGCACGCGCGCUACACUGAUGUGUCCAGUAAGCACCUAACCUCUUCCGAAAGGAACGGGUAACCUUUGCAAAGCACAUCGUGAUGGGGAUAGAUUAUUGCAAUUAUUAGUCUUGAACGAGGAAUUCCUAGUAAGCACAAGUCAUCAGCUUGUGUUGAUUACGUCCCUGCCCUUUGUACACACCGCCCGUCGCACCUACCGAUUGGAUGGUCCGGUGAAGCCUCGGGAUUGUGGUUCUUGACGCUUUAUUGUGGCGUGACCGCGAGAACUUGUCUAAACCUUAUCAUCUAGAGGAAGGUGAAGUCGUAACA